UACAGAGGUGGCAAGCGUUGUUCGGAAUUACUGGGCGUAAAGGGCGCGUAGGUGGCCUUCUAAGUCAGACGUGAAAUCCCCAGGCUUAACUUGGGAACUGCGUCUGAUACUGGAAGGCUUGAGUUCGGGAGAGGGAUGUGGAAUUCCAGGUGUAGCGGUGAAAUGCGUAGAUAUCUGGAGGAACACCGGUGGCGAAGGCGGCAUCCUGGACCGAAACUGACACUGAGGCGCGAAAGCCAGGGGAGCAAACGGGAUUAGAAACCCCCGUAGUCC
rnacentral:rRNA from 1 species